rnacentral:miRNA from 1 species
GGAAGAUGAGAGGAGAGGAUGGGAGGGAGGAGUAACAAAAGUGAAAACAAAAACUAAAAACUGAAAUCUAUUUCAAAUUGUUUUCACUUUCAAGAUUUUGUUUUCACUUUUGUUACUCCUCCCUCUCAUCUUCCCCUCUCACCCUCUCU